GGGCUGAGCCCAUUCCCAGCCAUCAGCUUUUCCCUUAUAAUGGCAUUCCUUAAACUACCCUCGAAAACAACUAAUUCCCUGAACUCCCCCAGUUCCUGAGCUUUUCCGUGAUGUCCCUUGCCUGCCGGUGGCAGCUGUACCGGGUAGGGUAGGGCAGAGCUGUGGCUCGGUGUAGCUACAAUUAAUCUGUACAGACUAAUUGGCCGGUGCAUGUGUGUUGAGCGGCUGGGAGGAGGCUGCCAGCCCUGCUAGGUUCUGCUCCGGGUCUAACUCUUCUGCCCGAGGGCUGAUUUUCAUGCAACCUGCAGGAAUAAAGCUGCCUCUGAAGCAGCCACUCUCUCCCAAGUUCAUCUGAAAUUCAUUAAGGGGUUCAAAAGCUUUUUUGGGGGGGGGGGGGGGGCGGACAAACCUGCGAGCAGCAAAGCAGCAGGGCAAAACCCUUAUUUCGUGCCCAAAGAAAUAAGAGGCAUUUCUCCUCCUCUGUUGCUGGGCUGGCGACCCACACAGAUAACAGGGAAAAGCGACCACGCAGCCGACUGCAGAAUGGGAACAGGGAAAAUGACUCAGCAAGCCUGGCACCAAGCUGGAGAAAACACAGAAACGCAUCGCUGUGCUUUCCUGCCCAGCUGUCACCUCGAGCGUCUGGGCUCGACAAAAUGAAACAGAGCCGCGUGACGAUGUGCUGUGGCUGCUGCCACCGCCGCUCAGCCUCCUGCAGAGCUCCCAGCGCCGGGCACCGGUCUCCCCGUCGGAGCUUGGGAAGGGAGCGGUGCCUUCUGCUUGCCGAGACCCUGCGCCAGGCAAACUCGAGCGUUGCAAAGCGGGGCUGGGCUCUGCGGCGAGCGGUGCUGGCUCCAGCCCCCAACGUUUGCAAGGGUUCGCAUGGCGAGGUAACUCUCUUCCCAUGACACAGCAGAACAGCAGCAGCAGCAGCAGCGGCAGCAGCGUAAAAGAGAUUGGUUCUGGCAGUGCUCCGAGGAGACUAUUUUAUAUCCCAGCUCCAGCCUCUUUCUCCUUUAAGGACGAUCCAGAGGAGGGAAUGUGGAAUAAAAAGAGGCUUAGCGAGGUAGGCAGAUAAACCCCGGGGAAAUAGAAGGGGAGGCACGCUGGGGCUGGAACCCACGGCAGUGGGACAGCCUGGAUAUAACGGCAGAAAGAAGCAGGGUGGUAGAAAACACCCUAAAAUUGGACAGGAAAGGCCAGAUGAGCAAACACGAGGUGUAGGGCACACAGAGGGAAGCAUCUGAGCCCUCCAGGGAAGAAGGAAGGAAGGGAGGAUGAACUGCUCCGCGCUCGGCUAACCCUUUUUCGUUAAAGUCAUUAAUAGCUCCUACAAAAGUCCUGUUUAGGUACUGAAAAAGAGUAAUAAAAUAUCUGAAACACUGACCUGUUAACAUAUACAGCUCGUUGUGAGGGCAGGCUGAAUUGAAUGGGGUUGGGCACGGGUGUCCCAACUCCGAAAAUCCAAAUGGGGGAGCAGGAGGAGGUUUGCCAGGACAGGGCCUGCGCGGGGCAUCGUGUCCCAUGGAAGCGUGACGGUCAUCGGUGUCAGCCAGAGGUGGAAAAGGCGAUUUAUUCGUCUCCCUUCAUGGGAACUCUAUGAGGUGCUGAAUAAAUUGGAUUCCAGUCCUGUUCUCAGAGCCGCGGGUCACGCUUUGAACCACCGAGGGGCCGUGAUUUUCAGCGGGGCAAGCUUUUCCUCUCUCCGUUUUUAACCCUGAAUAGCUAGCCCCCUGCCAGCCCCUUGAACUUUGCGCUUGGCUGCAAACACUGCCACAACAUUGCGGGUUUGGGAGCUGAAUUUGGGGAGCUCCCACGGGAACCACAUGCCGCCAGUCCUGCAUAAAGCCCAGCCAGGGCCUGAGCCUCCGUGCAGCACCAUGAGGAGAAGGGUUGAAGGUGGGUGAGUGGGGCGGGUGGGCUUGAGCUCCAUCUCCACCAUCCUUGGGGCACAAGCUUGAGCUGAAGCCACUUCAGCACUGAAGGCAGAACAGCAGCCUCCGAAAUGCCGGCGGCCUGCGCGCCGACCUCCAGCGGGGAGACCCCCGCCGCACGCAGCGGGGGCGCGGGACAGCCGGGAUCUCCCCAAAGCGCCCGAAAUGUCUUCUCUUUCCUCUUUCUCUUGAGAAAGCGGCUGCUCGUGUGCGGGGCUUGCUUUAGCGCAGCGUCAGGCGUGCAUCACUAGGAACGGCUCCUGCAGGCAUCUCUCCCUACAACCUGGAUCAGAAAGCUGGUGGUGUUACAGGUUAGCUGCUCCAUAGUUUUUAUACCAACCGGCCGAGCUGCAGAAGUAAACCCACAUCUCCAAGCAAUGCCUCAACUCUGCACAAGCACAGCAAUGGCCCCGCUCGCACCUCCUGCCUCCGUAGGCUCGCUGGCACAACCAACUUUUUGCUGCUUCAGCACCGGAGCCGCAGCCGGGAGCGGGGGAGCCGCAACGGGGAUCCCGCAGGCGGCUGGGGCUGGGAGCAUCCCCGCUGCGCAAGGUGCCGCGGCGGUCCGGGCACGGCGUUUUGCCAGGGGGGAAAAGAAGGGGAGGGGAAUAAUAGUAAUAAUAAUGGUGGUAAUAAUAAUGACAAUAAUAAUAAUAGUGAUAGUAAUGAUGAUAAUGAUGAUAAUAAUGAUGAUGAUGAUAAUAAUGAUGAAAAUGAUGAUAAUAAUGAUGAAAAUGGUAAUAGUAAUGAUGAAAACGGUAAUAAUAAUGAUGAAAACGAUAAUAAUAAUGAUGAAAACUGUAAUAAUAAUAAUGAAAAUGGUAAUAAUGACGAUGAAAAUGCUAAUAAUACUGAUGAAAAUGCUAAUAAUACUGAUGUUAACGGUGAUAGUACUGAUGUUAAGGGUGAUAAUACUGAUGUUGAGGAUGGUAACGCUGACGAUAAUAAAGCCAACGCUAAUCAGUCAGCGAGAAGGGAGCCCAGCACGGUGUUUUGGCCGCAGAGCCGAGCCCGCUCGCAGCAGCCCCAGCAGCAGCAGCAGCAGCAGCAGCAGCAGCACUAGGGCGGCGUGGGGCCGGGGGUGGCGGCGGGUCCGGCGGCGUGGCGUGACGUGAAAGUCCCCUUUAAGUUUCCACGGAGAGGCCUCCGGGUGUCACAUGAUGGACAUGAUAUAAUGAAACAACAUUGUGCGGAGGGAAGCAUUAGGGGAGCCCGGGGCGGCGGUGCUGCUGCUGCUGCUGCUGCUGGUGGCGGCGGCGGAGUGUGGAUUGGGGGGGGGGGGGGGCGGCGACAGGCGACAUGCGGGACCCCCCUGGCUCGCAACACCUGCACCUGUCCCGGGGCGAUGGGGGCUGCGUGGGGCGGCCAACGCUGAGGUGAGUGAGGAGGAGGAGGAGGAGGAGGAAGGGGAGGACGGGGGGGGGGGGGGGGCUGCGCGGCGGCGGCCGGAGCGCUGGGCGCGGCGGGGGUGCCGCGUUUGCUCGGCCGGUUGCGAGCGUGCGAGGGGUGUGUAGAAA